ensembl:rRNA 5S_rRNA 5S ribosomal RNA
GUCUACCGCCAUACUACCCUGAGUGUGCCUGAUCCCAACUGAUCUUGGAAGCUAAGUAGUGUCAGUCCUGGUUAGUGCUUGGAUGGGAGAAA